UUGAACGCUGGCGGCAUGCCUUACACAUGCAAGUCGAACGGCAGCACGGGAGCAAUCCUGGUGGCGAGUGGCGAACGGGUGAGUAAUAUAUCGGAACGUGCCCAGUCGUGGGGGAUAACGUAGCGAAAGCUACGCUAAUACCGCAUACGAUCUAUGGAUGAAAGCGGGGGAUCGCAAGACCUCGCGCGAUUGGAGCGGCCGAUAUCAGAUUAGGUAGUUGGUGAGGUAAAGGCGCACCAAGGCGACGAUCCUUAGCUGGUCUGAGAGGAUGAUCAGCCACACUGGGACUGAGACACGGCCCAGACUCCUACGGGAGGCAGCAGUGGGGAAUUUUGGACAAUGGGCGCAAGCCUGAUCCAGCAAUGCCGCGUGCAGGAUGAAGGCCUUCGGGUUGUAAACUGCUUUUGUACGGAACGAAACGGUGAGCUCUAAUACAGUUUGCUAAUGACGGUACCGUAAGAAUAAGCACCGGCUAACUACGUG
rnacentral:rRNA from 1 species